rnacentral:rRNA from 1 species
CUGGCUCAGGAUGAACGCUAGCGACAGGCCUAACACAUGCAAGUCAGGGGCAGCACAAGGAGCAAUCUGAGGUGGCGACCGGCGCACGGGUGAGUAACACGUAUGCAACCUGCCUGUAAGCGGGGAAUAACCCGUUGAAAGACGGACUAAUACCGCAUAAUACUAAAUUACUGCAUGGUAAUUUAUUUAAACAUUUAUGGCUUACAGAUGGGCAUGCGCAUGAUUAGCUAGUUGGAGAGGUAACGGCUCCCCAAGGCAACGAUCAUUAGGGGUUCUGAGAGGAAGGUCCCCCCACACUGGUACUGAGACACGGACCAGACUCCUACGGGAGGCAGCAGUGAGGAAUAUUGGUCAAUGGACGAGAGUCUGAACCAGCCAAGUCGCGUGCAGGAAGAAUGUCCUAUGGAUUGUAAACUGCUUUUGCAGGGGAGUAAAGUGCAUCACGUGUGAUGUUUUGUAUGUACUCUGCGAAUAAGGAUCGGCUAACUCCGUGCCAGCCGCCGC